UACGGAGGGUGCGAGCGUUAAUCGGAAUUACUGGGCGUAAAGCGCAUGCAGGCGGUCUGUUAAGCAAGAUGUGAAAGCCCGGGGCUCAACCUCGGAACAGCAUUUUGAACUGGCAGACUAGAGUCUUGUAGAGGGGGGUAGAAUUUCAGGUGUAGCGGUGAAAUGCGUAGAGAUCUGAAGGAAUACCGGUGGCGAAGGCGGCCCCCUGGACAAAGACUGACGCUCAGAUGCGAAAGCGUGGGGAG
rnacentral:rRNA from 1 species